GAAUAAGCGCAUAUGGUGGAUGCCUAGGCAGUUAGAGGCGAUGAAGGACGUGUAAGUCUGCGAUAAGCAUUGGGAAGCUGACAAAACGCGUUAUACCCAAUGAUUUCCGAAUGGGGAAACCCAGGUCUUAGGACCUAUCUUAUAGUGAAUACAUAGCUAUAUGAAGCAAACGAGGGGAACUGAAACAUCUAAGUACCCUUAGGAAAAGAAAUCAACCGAGAU
rnacentral:rRNA from 1 species